GUCCUGCAGCUGCCGUCUUCGUUUUGCUUUCUAUCUCGUCGAGCCUCGCCGUUGCGUCCGUCGUUCUCGUCAACGUGGUUGUCGUUCUUGCAGAUCUCUCUCGCAUUGUUUCCCUUGGCUCUCGUGUUUCUCCUGUUAGUCGCUGUACAGGCUAGCCGACACUCCGCGUUUACUAUCGAUCAUGCAGGAUGGAUCAUGUUCUUUUUGGGAACCUAUCUGGCCCAGAGUCCGGUGGCAGUAGAGAAGCCAAAGUCGGUCCUUGUGAGAGUAUCUCUUGUUGCCUGGAUGCUCGCAAUGUUAGUGUUAGUGCAGUUCACGAAGACGGAAAUCACCGCGUCUCGAAGCAUUCCCACCCUUUCAUCCGAAAUAAGGCACGUGGCAGCAUUUGCGUCACGCUUGGACACCGGCAACAUAUUGCCGUGCAUGAAUUUUUUUGUUGCCGGCAUUAUUGAUGGCCUCAACGGAAACGUGCCGCACUUAAUGUCCCUGCGUCAAGCGCUGAAGAAAUGCGACAAGACAUGCCUUACUGACGACAUCAAUGGUUUCUGCUUUCCACUCGCUGAACAAGGGUCGCACGCAAUCGUGAUGUCUUGCCGCCGUUUCCAGAAAGACAACGGCUGUUCGGCCGGUCUUGUGGUAGGUGAUGAAGAACUCCUACAGUAUUUGAAGUGGCUACCGACACACAUCAGAUUUCCCAUGAGGCACCAUCAUCGAAGGUUCAUACUGGCGCUGCAAGAGUCUGGGCUCUUUUGGGAAUUCAUAAGAAAGGACGUCACGCCCUGCAGCGACCGGACAACCUUCGCAACAUUUGACAUUCCAUUCAACGACUACGCUGCCAUUUACCUCGCUGGAUGUGGCAUAUCCCUGGUGGCGUUUGGCGCAGAGGUGCUUUGUCAGCGUUGCUACCACGCACGGCGCCACAAAGCUCCCCGAGUGUAUACCAACUACAAUGGCCUAACCAAGCUUGCGAGAAGGAAAAUGUGAAGCGUCUACAAUAAAUUACUUGUAGAGAAAGAGGGAGGGUCAGUCAACCGCAAGCUCUGUACAGCCUAGCACAUUGGUGAUGUUGUUGUUCUUGUUGAUGUUCUUGUUGUUGUUUUGGUGCUUGUUGUUAGUAACUCACACAUGUUUAAAAAUAUUAAAGCUCGACACAAUGUUCCACGCUGGG